CUUUCUUGGAUCUUCAAUUCAUUAAGUCAAGAUCUUGCCAACAAUGUGCUCUAUCUCGAGACACCUUUCGAAAUCUGGACAGAUCUACAAGAACGUUUCUCACAAGGUGAUUUUUCUCAUUACUGUCAACUUCAACGGUCCAUUGUUGAAUUGAAACAAAAUCAAGAAUCCAUUUUCACUUAUUGUACUAAGAUGAAGACAUUGUGGGAUAAAUUGAAGAAUUGCAGUCCAUCUGCUAUUUGUACUUGUGGAGGAUUGAGAUAUUUGAACGAAAAAGAAGAAAAAAUUAGGCUAUGACAAUUUCUUAUGGGAUUAAAUGAGUCCUACUCAGCUGUAAGAGAUUAAAUUAUGCUGAUGCAACCCUUACCUACUAUAAAGAAAGCUUAUUCUCUUCUAUGUGAAGAAGAAAAGCAAAGAGGACUAGUUGAAUAUAAGGGGGCAGAUCAAGUCCAUGCUAUGAAUGUCAAACCUCAGCCCAAUUUCAAACAACAAAGCUAUGAUCACCAACGCCAGGCCAAGUGGACACCCUCUCCCUCAAAACCUCAAGGGCCUAGAAAGCCACAGUUCUGCACUUACUGUGAUGGAACCACUCAUACGGUUGAAAGGUGCUACUACUUGAUUGGAUUUCCUGUUGGUCACAAGCUUCAUGGAAAAGAUGUUCAACCCCCAAAUCGAAAACAUAAAGUUGCUGCUAAUCAAACAAGCAGCGAGCCAGCUCAUAUUACAAAUAAAGUACCUGAUCAGUCAAUCCAAUUCACCUCUGAGGAGCUUUCUCAAAUCAAGGCAUUCCUCCGAAAUGGUAAAAGUUCUCCUUGUGCUAAUUAUACAGGUAUUCCAACGCCUUUUUGUUCUUCAUCCACUUUACGUUAUUUCAAAUCUGAUAACUGGAUUAUUGAUAGUGGUGCUACACAUCAUAUAACUUCCUCAAUGACUAGUGAUACUCCUAUGACUUCACAAGUUUCCUUACCAAAUGGUUCUCAGUCAACAAUCACUGGAGUUGGCACCGCUCAUCUUUCCGAUAAUUUACAUGUUAAAGAUGUUCUUUGUGUCCCUUCCUUUCAUGUCAAUCUUCCUUUUGUUAGCCAACUCACAUCUGCUCUAAAUUGUACCAUCCAAUUUUUUCCUAAUUUUUGUAUUUUGCAGGACCUAGAUUCGAAGAGGAUGAUUGGCCUGGGGAAAUAGGAUAAGGGAUUGUACUAUCUUGUGCCACAUUCAAAGUUGUCAUCAUCUAUACCAGUAACUUAUCAGGUCUCCAUUCCAUCAGCCAUCACUUGUCAUAAACGAUUGGGACAUCCUUCUAAAGCGCCAUCUCAAUUUUUGUGCAAACUGAUUCCUUCUUUUGUUUUUGAUUCUUAACAUUUAUGUGACGUUUGUCAUUUGGCAAAACAAACAAGAUUGUCAUUUCCUUUGAGUUCCAUUCAAUCUAAGCACUCUUUUGAUCUUAUACAUUGUGAUAUUUGGGGACAUCAUCGUGUUGAAACUCAUACGGGUGCACAUUAUUUUUUAACAAUUGUUGAUGAUCAUACUCGAUUCACAUGGAUAUUUUUUAUGAAAUUCAAAUCAGAAACCUAAAGUUUGCUGAAAUCAUUCAUUACAUAUGUCAACACUCAAUUCAAUUGUCAAAUUAAAUGUAUAUGAAGCGGCAAUGGCUUAGAAUUUACCUCAAUGAAACCUUUCUUUUCUAAUCUUCGCAUUUUGUUUCGAAGUUCUUGUACCUCUACACCACAACAAAAUGGUGUCGUGGAACGCAAACGUCGUCAUUUACUGAAUGUUGGUCGAGCUUUAAGAUGUCAAGCAAAUUUUCCUUUACGUUUUUGGGGAGAAAGUCUACUUACUGCCACCUACAUUAUUAAUCGUCUUCCUACACCAUUAUUACAUCAUAAAACUCCAUAUGAACUUUUAUAUAACAAACCUCCCAGUUACACACAUAUGCGAGUCUUUGGAUGCCUCUGUUAUGCUACUAAUCUUCAACCACUAACAAAAUUUUCUCCUCGUGCUCGUCAAUGUUUCUUUGUUGGUUAUCCUUCAGGACAAAAAGCCUAUCGUGUCUAUGAUCUUACUACUAGCCAAUUUUUUUCCAGUCGUGACGUAAUAUUCCAUGAAAACAUAUUCCCUUUUUCUACUUCCACUGCUGAAACACAAACUGAAAAUCUUCCAUUAUCUUCCAUACCUCCUUGCACAACUGAUAUAGAUUAUUCCCUUCCUUUACCUUUAUCAACUCUUGUUCCUUCAUCUUCUGACCUGUCAUCUUCUUCUCCAUCACCUGAUUUGCUAUAUAAUUCCUCGCCACCAUUCACCAAGUCUCCCUAUCUCUUCACCUCCAUCAAAUUCCUCUCCUACUACCCCUAUUCUUUGUCGCAGUGAUCGCCUAAGACAACCAUCUGUACUUCUUUGUGAUUUUCAUUGUGGUCAGGCUAGUACAUCAUCUUCUACAACAACUCAAGGCAUGUCAUCCUCUUCACGGCCAGGUACUCAUUAUCCCUCAACAAACUUUAUUUCCUAUGACUCAUUAUCUUUUUCCCAUAAAUCUUUUAUUAAUACCAUUUCCAGUACUCUUGAACCUACCACAUAUGAGCAAGCAGUUCAAGAUCCAAAAUGGCGUGAGGCCAUGAAACAUGAGCUCAUAGCUCUAGACAACCAACAUACUUGGUCUUUGGUUUUCGUUCCACCUGGACAUCGGCCAAUCGGCAACAAAUGAAUUUUUCACAUCAAGUAUAAUUCAAAUGGAACAGUGGAAUGUUAUAAAGCCCACAUAGUAGCCAAGGGCUUUAAUCAAACAGAGGGUUUGGAUUAUCAUGAGACUUUUGCCCCUAUAGCUAAGUUGACUACAGUUCGAUGUCUUCUUGCUUUACCUGCUAUUUGUAAUUGGCCUUUAUUUCAGAUGGAUGUUCAUAACGCCUUUCUUCAUGGUGACUUGGAUGAAGAGGUAUAUAUGACCCCGCCACCAGGACUCCGUCGACAGGCGGAGAAAAUGGUAUGUCGACUGUACAAAUCUCUCUACGGACUUAAACAAGCUCCUAGAAAUUGGUUUUCAAAGUUUUCAGAAGCAAUGAGGAAGGUUGGUUUUACUCAAUCUCAU
rnacentral:lncRNA from 1 species